UUAAGCGACUAAGCGUACACGGUGGAUGCCCUGGCAGUCAGAGGCGAUGAAGGACGUGCUAAUCUGCGAAAAGCGUCGGUAAGGUGAUAUGAACCGUUAUAGCCGGCGAUGUCCGAAUGGGGAAACCCAGUGCAAUUCGUUGCACUAUCGUUUGAUGAAUACAUAGUCAAACGAGGCGAACCGGGGGAACUGAAACAUCUAAGUACCCCGAGGAAAAGAAAUCAACCGAGAUUCCCCCAGUAGCGGCGAGCGAACGGGGAGCAGCCCGGAGUCUGAAUCAGCUUGUGUGUUAGUGGAAGCGUCUGGAAAGUCGCAGGGUACAGGGUGAUACUCCCGUACACUAAAACACACAGGCUGUGAACUCGAAGAGUAGGGCGGGACACGUGGUAUCCUGUCUGAAUAUGGGGGGACCAUCCUCCAAGGCUAAAUACUCCUGACUGACCGAUAGUGAACCAGUACCGUGAGGGAAAGGCGAAAAGAACCCCGGCGAGGGGAGUGAAAAAGAACCUGAAACCGUGUACGUACAAGCAGUAGGAGCCCCACCACCAAAGCGUUUCGCUUUGCGUGGUGCGCAAAAUGCGUAACGACAGCAUGAUGGACGGUUAACGGAGCGUCAGCGACGUUCAACCUCAAAAAUCAGGCAGUGGAGCGUUUUGGGGUGGGGUGACUGCGUACCUUUUGUAUAAUGGGUCAGCGACUUAUAUUCUGUAGCAAGGUUAACCGUAUAGGGGAGCCGCAGGGAAACCGAGUCUUAACUGGGCGUUAAGUUGCAGGGUAUAGACCCGAAACCCGGUGAUCUAGCCAUGGGCAGGUUGAAGGUUGGGUAACACUAACUGGAGGACCGAACCGACUAAUGUUGAAAAAUUAGCGGAUGACUUGUGGCUGGGGGUGAAAGGCCAAUCAAACCGGGAGAUAGCUGGUUCUCCCCGAAAGCUAUUUAGGUAGCGCCUCGUGAACUCAUCUUCGGGGUAGAGCACUGUUUCGGCUAGGGGGUCAUCCCGACUUACCAACCCGAUGCAAACUACGAAUACCGAAGAAUGUUAUCACGGGAGACACACGGCGGGUGCUAACGUCCGUCGUGAAGAGGGAAACAACCCAGACCGCCAGCUAAGGUCCCAAAGUCAUGGUUAAGUGGGAAACGAUGUGGGAAGGCCCAGACAGCCAGGAUGUUGGCUUAGAAGCAGCCAUCAUUUAAAGAAAGCGUAAUAGCUCACUGGUCGAGUCGGCCUGCGCGGAAGAUGUAACGGGGCUAAACCAUGCACCGAAGCUGCGGCAGCGACACUAUGUGUUGUUGGGUAGGGGAGCGUUCUGUAAGCCGUUGAAGGUGGCCUGUGAGGGUUGCUGGAGGUAUCAGAAGUGCGAAUGCUGACAUAAGUAACGAUAAUGCGGGUGAAAAACCCGCACGCCGGAAGACCAAGGGUUCCUGUCCAACGUUAAUCGGGGCAGGGUGAGUCGACCCCUAAGGCGAGGCCGAAAGGCGUAGUCGAUGGGAAACAGGUUAAUAUUCCUGUACUUGGUGUUGCUGCGAAGGGGGGACGGAGAAGGCUAUGUUGGCCGGGCGACGGUUGUCCCGGUUUAAGCAUGUAGGCGGAUGUUCCAGGUAAAUCCGGAACGUUACUAACGCUGAGGUGUGAUGACGAGGCACUACGGUGCUGAAGUGACAAAUGCCCUGCUUCCAGGAAAAGCCUCUAAGCAUCAGGUAACAUCAAAUCGUACCCCAAACCGACACAGGUGGUCAGGUAGAGAAUACCAAGGCGCUUGAGAGAACUCGGGUGAAGGAACUAGGCAAAAUGGUGCCGUAACUUCGGGAGAAGGCACGCUGAUGGUAGGUGAAGCGACUUGCUCGUGGAGCUGAAAUCAGUCGAAGAUACCAGCUGGCUGCAACUGUUUAUUAAAAACACAGCACUGUGCAAACACGAAAGUGGACGUAUACGGUGUGACGCCUGCCCGGUGCCGGAAGGUUAAUUGAUGGGGUUAUCCUCGCGGAGAAGCUCUUGAUCGAAGCCCCGGUAAACGGCGGCCGUAACUAUAACGGUCCUAAGGUAGCGAAAUUCCUUGUCGGGUAAGUUCCGACCUGCACGAAUGGCGUAAUGAUGGCCAGGCUGUCUCCACCCGAGACUCAGUGAAAUUGAACUCGCUGUGAAGAUGCAGUGUACCCGCGGCAAGACGGAAAGACCCCGUGAACCUUUACUAUAGCUUGACACUGAACACUGGUCCUUGAUGUGUAGGAUAGGUGGGAGGCUUUGAAGUGUGGACGCCAGUCUGCAUGGAGCCGUCCUUGAAAUACCACCCUUUAAUGGCUGGUGUUCUAACGUGGGCCCGUGAUCCGGGUUGCGGACAGUGUCUGGUGGGUAGUUUGACUGGGGCGGUCUCCUCCUAAAGAGUAACGGAGGAGCACGAAGGUCAGCUAAUCCUGGUCGGACAUCAGGAGGUUAGUGCAAUGGCAUAAGCUGGCUUGACUGCGAGCGUGACGGCGCGAGCAGGUGCGAAAGCAGGUCAUAGUGAUCCGGUGGUUCUGAAUGGAAGGGCCAUCGCUCAACGGAUAAAAGGUACUCCGGGGAUAACAGGCUGAUACCGCCCAAGAGUUCAUAUCGACGGCGGUGUUUGGCACCUCGAUGUCGGCUCAUCACAUCCUGGGGCUGAAGUAGGUCCCAAGGGUAUGGCUGUUCGCCAUUUAAAGUGGUACGCGAGCUGGGUUUAGAACGUCGUGAGACAGUUCGGUCCCUAUCUGCCGUGGGCGCUGGAGAAUUGAGGGGGGCUGCUCCUAGUACGAGAGGACCGGAGUGGACGCAUCACUGGUGUUCGGGUUGUCAUGCCAAUGGCAUUGCCCGGUAGCUAAAUGCGGAAGAGAUAAGUGCUGAAAGCAUCUAAGCACGAAACUUGCCCCGAGAUGAGUUCUCCCUGACUCCUUGAGAGUCCUGAAGGAACGUUGAAGACGACGACGUUGAUAGGCCGGGUGUGUAAGCGCAGCGAUGCGUUGAGCUAACCGGUACUAAUGAACCGUGAGGCUUAACCUU
rnacentral:rRNA from 1 species